GGCAGCCAAUACAACCUUCGGCCGGCUAUGAUUAAUACCCACUUGUCAAUAUCUCAUGGCUGAUAAAUAUCAUCUAUUCUGAGUGCUUGGCACUCUCUGGAGCCAUAUGCUGUCACUACGUUCUGAUAAAUCAGUAGCAGAAGUCAUCUAUACGCGUACUUCAGCAUUCGACCUGCUGUCCUCUGGCUUCAUCUUGUGGUCAAACAGAGUAAGCGCAACUAAAGAAGACGAGCGGUACCACAUUGUGAUUCUCUGCCAAGUUGAGUUACACGUCAGUAGGGAACCGGUACUGGUGAGUGGACGUGUACCGUGCACGUCAGGCGGUUCCCGGAUGCACCAAACAGAAACAUGGAACGGGUAGUGGUGGAAGUGCCGAUCAACAACGGUUUUUCCCUCGCCUGCCCUUCCACAACCCCACGAAAGCGGCAGGUGCGGUUUUCAGCACGCCAUGACAUCAUCCUUCUGCGAGAGGUUAUUGCACAGAAUCCCUUUGCCUCCAAAGAGCCAGGACGGAUUUGGGCACGCGUGGGCGAGAUUAUCACUGCUGCCCUCCAAGAGGAAAACUUUGAGGUGGAUGCCAGGAGAUGUAGGGAGAGAACCAUGCUGCUGCUGGACUACUACAAGAAACAAGACUUUCCCAGCCUACGCAGGUUUGGAACAGAAAGAUUGUAUGCCCAGAAGGAGGAUCUGCUCCACGAGGUUUUAGAGCUGGAGGCUGAGAAGGGGCUCCUAGUCAGCAAUGAUGGCACAAAGUACCAGGAUGAUGAGCGGAGAAAUCGAGUUGCAGAAGAACUAAGUCUACCAGAACAGGACAAACCCAACAUCACAAUCCCGCAAACAACCACUACAGAACAAGAAGAAGAGCGUGAGGAAAUGACAGAGCUGUCAGCAGCGCCCACAGCCAAGCGGCCCUGCCAGUGCUGCUGCCAAACCUACUCUGAGAUUCUCAGCUUCUUGGAGAAACGCUCAGAAGCGGAGCAGCGGCUUCGAGAAGAAGAGCUCGCCUUGCGCCGAGAGGAACUGGAGAUUCAGAGAAGUACGAUUUUUGCCAUGGUCCUUGUAAUAUCUGCUGGUUUCGUUAUUGGCUUCAUGCUUUUAGUUAUCUCUGUUGCUGUUUUCUCUAUUCCCCUGUCUAUGUCUUCAUGUUUAGUUAACCUUUAUAGUUCAGUGUUAUUUAUUUAUUUAAUUUUUGCCUGA
ensembl:lncRNA